rnacentral:rRNA from 1 species
UACGAAGGGGGCGAGCGUUGUUCGGAUUUACUGGGCGUAAAGGGCGCGUAGGCGGCGCGAGAAGUCGAGUGUGAAAGCCCCGGGCUCAACCUGGGAAUUGCGCUCGAUACUCUAGCGCUUGAGUUCGGGAGAGGAGCGUGGAAUUCCCAGUGUAGGAGGUGAAAUUCGUAGAUAUUGGGAAGAACACCGGUGGCGAAGGGCGGCGACUCUGGACCG